rnacentral:misc_RNA from 1 species
GAUAUAUGAUAGCUUCGCCCGACCCGAAAACCCAGAAAAGUGGAAAGGAGUAAUGGGAUAGCCAACGGCGAGCAUAGUUGAAGUGAUCAUACCGAAAACAGGAAAAGCCCUAGAGAAAAGAAAACAAAGCAAAUGUGGUCUCUUUCUCUUGGCAGAUUGUCUUCUUCGUCAUUGCUUGGCAGUCAUGGCUGCUUCAAAUCCAUCUCUUACAUGCCCUCUAGAUUCGCCGCUUUUUUUACAGGUCGUUUAGAUAAUGGCAAUAGUAGUUCCUAUUCUGAUAAUGUUGCUAAAGGAGAAAGUGAAAAACGUACAUUACAGUCUUCAGGAAAUUUUGGGACUAAUAUGGAUUUGUUGGCUGCGAAAGAAAAUGUGUCUGCUCCAUAUCGCAUGGGGUUCCAAAAUUCUGCAGGUCUGAAAGAUGCUGAGAUGGGGAGGAAUUCUGGGCCCAUGGACUUUGUGAGGGGAAUAUUAGAGCAAGAGAGUUCUCGAUUUUCUCAAUACAAUGUUGAGCAUAAUGCUGAUAUUGUGCACAUAAAGCUAAUGCGUAAUAAUAGCUUUAUUAAUGUGACAGAUUCUAAGGGAAAUACAAAGCUUGUGGUUACAUCAGGAUCAAAGAAAGUGGUAGGUGAGGGAAAAGUAACUCGGUAUGCUGCUGAAGCAACUGCAGAAUAUGCUGGACGGAAGGCCAGAGAAAUGGGGUUGAAAUCGGUUGUGAUGAAGGUUGAAGGGUUCACUUACUUCAGGAAGAAAAGGCAAGCAAUCAUGAGCUUUAGAGAGGGCUUCUGUAAUUCUCGAACUGAUAGGAAUCCUAUUGUAUACAUUGAAGAUACUACUCGGCGUCCACAUAAUGGAUGUCGACUUCCAAAGAAACGCCGAAUUUAGGUUAUAGCAUUUCAGCUACGUGUCUACAGGAUGGAACUAAUUAUCCAAUGUUUAGCAAGAGUUUCACACACAAAGGGGCAGAUAAAUCCCUGGGAAUGGUAAUGGAUGUUGGUAGUUAUUUUGUUUGUAAUAACGUAAUCAAGGAGAAGGUAUCUUAAAGUGGUGGUGGAUGUUAAUUUGAUGAAUACCAAUUAGUUUAAAGUUGUUCUUGUGUUGGUUUUGAGGUGACAAGCAUAUUUCUCAUGGACUUGUAGUACCCUGAAACUCAUGUCUUUUAUUUAUUGAGUUUAACAAUUCUGUCUCUAAAUAUCUUCUAUUCAUCUCUGUAUCUAUCUCAGUAUUUUCUGUCCUGAUAAUUGUCUGCUUCUGUGAAUGGUGGAAAUUGGUUUAUUCCUUCUGAUCAUGAUAAUGCGUUAUCAUGCAAACUUCGAAAUUAUUUAUAUGGUGUCUAAUUCAAAUUAUUGGUUGGACUACUUACUAUUGUGAAUUAUAAUUUUGUUGGUUCUUAUUUAGAAAUUGUAUGCCAG